rnacentral:rRNA from 1 species
UUCCAGACUCCUACGGGAGGCAGCAGUGGGGAAUAUUGGGCAAUGGGCGCAAGCCUGACCCAGCAACGCCGCGUGAAGGAAGAAGGCUUUCGGGUUGUAAACUUCUUUUCUGAGGGACGAAGAAAGUGACGGUACCUCAGGAAUAAGCCACGGCUAACUACGUGCCAGCAGCCGCGGUAAUACGUAGGUGGCAAGCGUUAUCCGGAUUUAUUGGGUGUAAAGGGCGUGUAGGCGGGAAAGCAAGUCAGAUGUGAAAACUCAGGGCUCAACCCUGAGCCUGCAUUUGAAACUGUAUUUCUUGAGUGCUGGAGAGGCAAUCGGAAUUCCGUGUGUAGCGGUGAAAUGCGUAGAUAUACGGAGGAACACCAGUGGCGAAGGCGGAUUGCUGGACAGUAACUGACGCUGAAGCACGAAAGCGUGGGGAUCGAACAGGAUUAGAUACCCCUGUAC